UACGUAGGCAGCGAGCGUUGUUCGGAGUUACUGGGCGUAAAGCGCACGUAGGUGGCGACGUAAGUCGGGUGUGAAAGCCCCGGGCUCAACCUGGGAAUUGCAUUCGAGACUGCAUUGCUGGAGUACGGAAGAGGAGGGCGGAAUUCCCGGUGUAGCGGUGAAAUGCGUAGAUAUCGGGAGGAACAUCGGUGGCGAAAGCGGCUCCCUGGUCCGAUACUGACGCUCAUGUGCGAAAGCGUGGGGAGCAAACAGG
rnacentral:rRNA from 1 species